CCUACGGGAGGCAGCAGUAGGGAAUCUUCCACAAUGGACGAAAGUCUGAUGGAGCAACGCCGCGUGAGUGAAGAAGGGUUUCGGCUCGUAAAGCUCUGUUGGUAGUGAAGAAAGAUAGAGGUAGCAACUAGCCUUUAUUCGACGGUAAUUACUUAGAAAGUCCCGGCUAACUACGUGCCAGCCGCCGCGGUAAUACGUAGGUGGCAAGCGUUGUCCGGAUUUAUUGGGCGGAAAGCGAGUGCAGGCGGGUCAAUAAGUCUGAUGUGAAAGCCUUCGGCUCAACCGGAGAAUUGCAUCAGAAACUGUUGAACUUGAGGGCAGAAGAGGAGAGUGGAACUCCAAGUGUAGCGGUGGAAUGCGUAGAUAUAUGGAGGAACACCAGUGGCGAAGGCGGCUCUCUGGUCUGCAACUGACGCUGAGGCUCGAAAGCAUGGGUAGCGAACAGGAUUAGAUACCCGAGUAGUC
rnacentral:rRNA from 1 species